rnacentral:rRNA from 1 species
UAAAGAUCCGUCGGAUGGGGAUAGGCUCGCGUGACAUUAGCUAGACGGCGGGGUAACGGCCCACCGUGGCGACGAUGUCUAGGGGUUCUGAGAGGAAGGUCCCCCACACUGGAACUGAGACACGGUCCAGACUCCUACGGGAGGCAGCAGUGAGGAAUAUUGGUCAAUGGCCGGAAGGCUGAACCAGCCAUGCCGCGUGAAGGUCAGUGCCCUAUGGGCGUUAAACUUCUUUUGUGCGGGAACAAUAAUGGUCACGUGUGGCCAGACGAGAGUACCGUACGAAUAAGCAUCGGCUAACUCCGUGCCAGCAGCCGCGGUAAUACGGGGGAUGCAAGCGUUAUCCGGAUUUAUUGGGUUUAAAGGGUGCGUAGGCUGUGAGGUAAGUCAGCGGUGAAAUGCCCCCGCUCAACGGGGGAAGUGCCAUUGAUACUGCCUUGCUGGAAUGCGGAUGCCGUGGGAGGAAUGUGUGGUGUAGCGGUGAAAUGCAUAGAUAUCACACAGAACACCGAUUGCGAAGGCAUCUCACGAAUCCGCGAUUGACGCUGAUGCACGAAAGCGUGGGUAUCAAACAGGAUUAGAUACCCUGGUAGUCCACGCUGUAAACGAUGAUGACUAACCGUCGGCGAUACACAGUC